rnacentral:rRNA from 1 species
GAUGAACGCUGGCGGCGUGCCUAAUACAUGCAAGUCGAGCGAACGGACGAGAAGCUUGCUUCUCUGAUGUUAGCGGCGGACGGGUGAGUAACACGUGGAUAACCUACCUAUAAGACUGGGAUAACUUCGGGAAACCGGAGCUAAUACCGGAUAAUAUUUUGAACCGCAUGGUUCAAAAGUGAAAGACGGUCUUGCUGUCACUUAUCGAUGGAUCCGCGCUGCAUUAGCUAGUUGGUAAGGUAACGGCUUACCAAGGCAACGAUGGAUAGCCGACGUGAGCGGGUGAACGCCCACACUGAAACUGAGCCACGAUCCAGACUCCGACGGGAGGCAGAGGUAGGGAAUCUUCCGCAAUGGGCGAAAGCCUGACGGAGCAAUGCCGCGUGAGUGAUGAAGGCCUUCGGAUCGUAAAACUCUGUUAUUAGGGAAGAACAUAUGUGUAAGUAACUGUGCACAGCUUGACGGUACCUAAUCAGAAAGCCACGGCUAACUACGUG